CGAAACCCUAUUGAAACAUAAGUACAAACAAAUACAGAUGAAGAUUAAAAAAAGCACGAAACCCUAAUUAAUUAGAAAAACACACCAACCCUCUUGAAAAUAAUAAUAAUAAAUUAAAAAAAGCCAGUUUUUUCUGUCUCCUUUCAUCUACAACGAGGAAAGAGGGGAGGAAAAAGAGCUCUCUUUUUUGACAAAAGAGCCUUUAAAAAAUAAAAACUACACACCCCUCCAAAAAAGCUGCAGAAUAAGAGGUUCCAUAUUCAACACGUGGGUAAUUAAAACGUGGUCAACCGGUCAACCACGCGAAAAAAAACACAACCUCAGUGGCAAAAAAGAAAACUCUUUCUGCGAAAAAUGGAAACCUUCUCGCAGUCGCAGCAUUGUUAACAGAGAAGAGAGAGAGAGAUUAUUCACUGGUCAUUGUGUUUGUACUUCUCAGGAGGUCUUGGAAACAAGUGGGAAGACUUAAAGCUGUUAAAAUUUAGGGUUCUUGUGUGUUUUCUGUUUACAUGUACUUUAGUAGAGCCUGUCUUAGGUUUCUCACCAGAUCCUUCACUGUAAUGGAGAAAUCACCGUCCAUCUGGGCAACAAUAGUUACAUCAAGGGUGGAAUUUCCGAAGGGCAAGACACUACUGUUGAUGACAUUUAGAUGAAGCUUUUCCAAUUCGCUUAGUAUUUUCAGUAGGCAUCCUUUCUGCUUUUCGCAGUGCACUCUAAUGAGAACAUCCUUGUCUGAAACUCUAGCUUCUAUUUCUGGCAGCGGUUGGUCGCAGCAGCCAUCGGAGUUCUCAUCAGUUGAGGACGACUCGUCGUCCACAUACACCUGUGAUUUCUUCACGAAAACUACUGAUUCCAUAGUUUUCUUGGCAGCUUGUUCCUCGAGUGUCUUUACGCGUCCUUGUAAAUGCUUCAAGUACUUAAUAGCAUCUCCAAGAACAGAAGCCUUGUCCAUCUUUUUCAGGCCAGGAACAACAGCUGAAAGAGCUAUGAAUCUCUGGCUAAGCUUUUCGCGGCGCUUUCUCUCCGCUAUCACAUGAUCUUGUGCAUGUAAAGGAGAUCUACUCAAUGGACCAGUCUUCUUCUGGGUACCUUGUCCAUAUUCCUCAAAGGAACCCUGACAGAACAAACUAGAGGGGUAAUUUAUGCUUCCAUUCGACCCCAUUUCAUUCUUAGGCUUUACAGUUGUUGGGUCCAGGCCAUUCAACUGUUGAGAGGUAGCUGCAGAUGAAUUGGAGUUCUGGAAAGAGAUAAUGUGAG
rnacentral:misc_RNA from 1 species